AGGCUAAAUACUCCUGAUUGACCGAUAGUGAACCAGUACCGUGAGGGAAAGGCGAAAAGAACCCCGGCGAGGGGAGUGAAAAAGAACCUGAAACCGUGUACGUACAAGCAGUAGGAGCCUCUUUAUGGGGUGACUGCGUACCUUUUGUAUAAUGGGUCAGCGACUUAUAUUCUGUAGCAAGGUUAACCGCAUAGGGGAGCCGUAGGGAAACCGAGUCUUAACUGGGCGAAUGAGUUGCAGGGUAUAGACCCGAAACCCGGUGAUCUAUCCAUGGGCAGGUUGAAGGUUGGGUAACACUAACUGGAGGACCGAA
rnacentral:rRNA from 1 species